GAUAAACACCGCGGUAAAAUGAAGAGCAUUGGGAUCACGUGAAUCUGCACGUGCAGCAUGCCGUGUCAUGCUCAACAUCCGGGUACCUCGACCGCAUGGUCUCAUCAGUUGACUGAAAGAUACGGUAGCGAACAUGUCUGACAACGAACUGUUUCUAACACAAUCUACCUUCCGGGGAGAAAGUGACAAUGACGAUGAAGAGAAAACGAAAAACUGAAGCUUUGCGUACCUAAAGGAACUAAAUACAAAAACGACUGGGCGUUGUCUGUGUUCAGUCGCUGGCAGAAGGAGCGCUGUCAACGGCCCAUGAAGGAUAAUAUUGCCCUCUCAUGUGGAUGUCUGUAAACUAACUUAGUGGAUAUGACGCCAGCUGAAGUUAACACGGCAAUGAAAUACAUGUACUUCAUUUUCGAAACCAGAAAAGUGGACGUUACUCCUUACCUAUCAAGUACUCUGUAUGGCUUGUUUGCGGCUUUGUCCUCUGCAGUGAAAAUGUCUGGAUCAAGGAAAGGUUUGUUCGAACAUGAUGAGUUUGCUGAGUGUAGAAAAGCGCUCGAUGCCGCAAUGAGAGAAAGGUCUGCUGCCGGGUUCGGGACGUCUGUAUGUAAACACACGGAGAUAAUAUCGGAGGAGGAGGGGCAACGCCUUUGGGAGAAAGGGAUUCUAGGAGAAGAAAAUCCCCAACAGCUCCUUGAUACUGUUCUUUAUUUGACAGGACUACAUUUUGCGUUACGCGGAGGUAAAGAACGCCGAAGCCUCCGGUUGCAUAGCAACCCUCAGAUCACUGGCCUACAUCAGGACACAGGCGGCCGACAUUAUCUGUGUUACACGGAAGAUGUGUCUAAAACUAACCCGGGAGGAAUGACCCAGAGGAAACUUAAACCUAAAGUAGUUCGAGCCUACGAAAAUGAUGAUUCAACGAGAUGUUACGUCCGACUUUACCAAAAGUACAAGUCGCUGUGUUAAGUGAUGCGUUCUAUUUCACGCCGGUGAAGAGGCCGAAGGAUGAUACAGUGUGGUACCUGGAUGUUCCGGUGGGACAUAAUACUUUGCAGAACACUGAAAAGAAUAUGCAGUCAGGGAGGCAUAGAAGGUCGUAAGACGAACCAUUCUCUUAGAGCAACCGCAGCGACGAGGUUGUUUCAGACAAAUGUUGAGUAACAACUUAUUUGUGAACACACUGGUAAAGUUUAAUGAAUUUCUGUUUACAGUAAGUAGUACGUACGAUGUGUUUGGCAGGAAUAAAUCGUCCAUUUUUGUACUACUUUACACAGAUGGCAAAUAUCUUUUCUUCAGAUCAUAGGAGUGCUGUGCGAACCUACAAAAGAAGCAAUGACGCCCAGAAGGCCCUUGUUUCCGACAUAGUUGCAAAGAAUCCCAGAAUUUCUGCUGAUCCCCAAAACUGCACCACCACCGCCACAACACGGUUGGAUGCUCAUCUCGAGCGUGGAAACAUUUCCGUUACCUUCAAUUUUCACUAAAUUACGUGUACAAUGACUAUUCAGACAUAAAGUGGCAAAGUUUGUUGGGUUUUUUAUUUCCAUUGGUACGUCUGCAUAGACUUGCACAGCAACAUGUUUCAUUUAGUCGUGUCUAUAACAUGUAAUACUCGCAGAUUUAUUUAAUGACAGUUUUGACACAACCAAAACAAACAUUUUGCUGUGUGAAAAAUUCUCAGGGUAUGAGGUUUUACAACGACCAUUGUAAAACUUCGUACCUCGUAUGAGGUUUUACAAUGGUCAUUGUAAAACCACCUGCAACCGUAAAACCUCUACCGAGGUUAUUCCAUAAUGCGAAGCAACUACAAGAACAAUAGACAACAUUGGCCAUAGGUUUAUAAAAUGUCACAUCAGUGACCACGAUGAUGUCUGAUUUCAGUUUCGUUUUUUGAAUGUUCCCAUAUUUCUAGUGAAAAUUGACUUGCCUUUGCAUGUGUUUGCGACCGGUGUCAUCGAUGUGUCAGGAUACACUCACUUCUCGAACACACCUGGUAUCAUUCCAGGUUGAUAGUAAUUCCUAAAGACAUGCGUACAUCACUCGGGGUGAGAGAGUGAAUGAGUAUGUUUUUCGCCGCUUUAGCAAUGUUCCAGCAAUGUUCCAGCAAUGUUCCAGAUAUGUUCCAGCAUUAUCAUGGCAGUGGUCACCAGAAAUGCAUUUACUUUUUGUGUUGCCAGUAGACCCUAGUGACAAAUAUGCAAUGAGGUCCCUGAAAUGAGUUAUUUCGAUUUUUACGUAUUACCUUCAUCUUAAACUGAAAUCUGUGGCAUGGACAGAAAGGUUACGUGGACAAACUCGCACUGGAUGGGAAGAAUCUUAUUUAAUGUUAUUAUUAUUUGUAUUUUAACAUCCGCUUCUUCCUUUUGCACUUGUGGCCUUUCAAAUCAUAGAACGUUACAUAUAUGUCGACUUAAAUGUAUCGAGAUGGAGAUUACCAGAUCCAGGGAUUGGGAUAGAGAACUUUGACAAUGGGCCAUUUUCAGGAUUAUUAGCCAUUUUCUGAAUUUAGAAUGGACCUCUGCCCUUGCAUCAAUAGUAAACUUCAAAAUUUUAAUGGGCCAUGUUUUAUUCUAAUGUGCAAAAUGGGCCAUGGCCCCUGCCUUUCCCAAUCCCUGCCAGAUCAAUAUUUGAUAGCCCUGAAUGUAACUGCGGGCAUCACACUGAAGAUGCGCUUCAUUUCUUCCUCAUCUGUCCUACAUUUAACGACAUAAGAUUAAAUGCACAUUUCUUUACUAGGUUUAAUUUGUCUUCAGUUUUAUAUGGUCAUUCGGACUCAUCUCAAAGGUAAAUCUAGAAUUAUUAAAAUAUCUACAUAACUACAUCAUAUCUUCUCAGAGAUUCUCGCAAUUUACCUAACUUAGUUUUAUUGUAUAUACCGUGCUUUGCUAGUAUCUUGACAUCACAAUAGCUACUAAAUUCUUAAGCUGAGUUUAUUUGCCUUCAAAGAUAUUUUUGUAAAUUCUCACACAUAAUAUUUUCAUUAUUGUCCUUUUAGAUUUCCAUUAUGUUUUGCACAUAGUCUAUGUGGGGUCGUAGUCAAAUGGACCGAAGGACUAAAGGGCCGAAAAAAAGUCUCAUGGGCCGAAGCCAAAUGCCAAAUGGACCCAAAUCAAAAGUCAAAAAGUCCAUAAUAAAAUAGUGUUGAUAGUG